rnacentral:rRNA from 1 species
AUACGGAGGGUGCAAGCGUUAAUCGGAAUUACUGGGCGUAAAGCGUACGUAGGCGGUUUAUUAAGUCAGAUGUGAAAGCCCCGGGCUUAACCUGGGAACUGCAUUUGAAACUAGUAGACUAGAGUAUGGUAGAGGGGGGUAGAAUUCCUAGUGUAGCGGUGAAAUGCGUAGAUAUUAGGAGGAAUACCAGUGGCGAAGGCGGCCCCCUGGACCAAUUCUGACGCUGAGGUACGAAAGCGUGGGGAGCGAACAGGAUUAGAAACCCUAGUAGUCC